UUUUUUUGUUUUUUUUUUUUUUUUUUUAAAUCAUUCGUGCCAAUGUGUUCUCACCCAGAGGGAGAUCAGUGACCUGAGGAGGCUGAAGCAGCUCUUGGGCACUUCCUCAGGCCUGUCCUGGUGGGGUUUGCAGCUGGAAUUCCUGCCAGGAUGGGAAUUAGGGUAACCCUGAGCCCGUUUCCAUUCAUUAUCCACUCCCCCAUGCUGGGUUUCACACAGGAUGGGUCUGACAGCAAGGAAUUCUGCAUUCACUGACCCUUGCCUGCCCUUUAGGCAUCUCCUUGUUUUUCAGGGGGUUUUCCCUAGCAAAUGAGGGUGAUCAGGAAUUUUUGCUGCCCUGCUUGGCACGGGGUGGUUCAAGCCGUGCCCUGGGCUGGGCUGCUCCUGCCAGGUAUGAGGAGCACAGCCUCUUCCCAAGAUUUCAGCUCUUCCAGGGAGCCAAACGGAGCAUCCUGCACAUCCCACGGACAGCCAGAGCUUUGCUCAGCACCAGGAUCCUCCUGCUCCUCUAAACCAAACGUUUUCCCUUUAGCUGCUGGCAAGAAAUCACCUCUGUCCCUUGUCACAGCAAUCCCAGCUCCUCUUCUUCCCCCAGGAACCUGUGGGGGAUGAGCUCAGGUGGCAGGAGAGGGAGCAGAGGUGGUUUUGGUGUGGGAGUUGGAGCCAGGAGCCCUUUUUGGAGGGUAGGGAGGAAUUCCUGUUGUUGCCAGCAGCCUCCUGCCAGGAGCUCCCUGGAUUUUUGGGAUGCACCAAAUGUGUGGGAUUAUUGUCAGUAUUAACCCAGCACUUCAUCCUCAUGGAUGGGCUCUCCCCUCCUCACCUCAGCCUCACAAUUCCCAGGUUACAAACACCCAAAUUUCCUCUGAGAACACCCUGGAAGAGAGCUGGGCAACAGCCACAGCUGGGCUUGGACCUCUUUUCCCCCUCACACUCCAGAAACAGGAGCAGUUCUUGUGACCUCAGUGAUCUGAAGGGUUCCCAGAGGCUUCCAUGGAAUUCCAGAACCCAGGGAGCUCAGUCUGGCUCUGGGAGAAUGUUCUGGAAGAGCAGCAAAGGUGGGGUUUGGGGAGGCCUGGGUGGUUCCUGUGGUUGAGCACAAAAUCCUCGCUGGGUCUCUCCAGGUUGCCAGAAUUCCAAGGUCUCUGGUGGUUCCUGGAAUUACCCUCUGUGAAAAGCUGGGAAUGCAGCGAGUUUGUGAAUUCACGUUUUUGCCUGCUGGAGUGGAGUGGAUUUCCCCCCAAAUCCCCUCAUUCUGCCUUGGGGUGACCCGCAGGGUGAGGGGCAGUGUGUCCCUGUCCCUGGCAGGGUGGGUAAGGGGGAAUUCCCCCUCAGUGCAGGCUGGGCUGGCAGAAAUUCGGGAAUGCUGGAGGAGCCCAGCUGAGCCCGGUUCUGUGGGGACAGAAAUCCCACUCUGGGCUCGUGCUGGCUCUGCUUUAGCUCAUCCUCACAAACAGGGAUGGUGUGGGGCAGGGAUCCCUCCCCUGGGGGGACAGGGAAUUCCUUUUGCCCAGGGAAUUCCUUUUUCCAAGGAAUUCCUUUCCCCAGGGAACUCCUUUUGCCCAGGGAACUCCUUUUUCCCAGAGAACUCCUUUUUCCAGGGAAUUCCUUUUCCCAGGAAAUUCCAUUUUCCCCAGGGAACUCCUUUUGCCAAGGAAAUUCCUUUCUCCAAGGAAUUCCUUUCCCCAGUGAACUCCUUUUUCCCAGGGAACUCCUUUUGCCCAGAGAAUUCCUUUUCUCCAGGGAGCUCCUUUCCCCAAGGAAUUCCCUUUUCCAAGGAAUUCUUUUUCCAGGGAAUUCUUUUUCCAAGGAAUUCCUUUUUCCAGGGAAUUCCUUUUCCCAGGGAACUCAUUUCCCCAGGAAAUUCCUUUUCCCCAGGGAACUCCUUUUGCCCAGGUAACUCCUUUUCCCCAGGGAAUUCCUUUUCCCAGGGAACUCCUUUUUCCUCCCUGGCACAGCUGCAGCAGCACAGACCUCGGGCUGGAGCUCAAAUGCACUAUUCAGGAUUCCCACAGGUUUUUUUUCCCUCCUUUAAGCCAUAAGAUUUCCCCUUUGUUUAAAAUGAAAUUUUCAUUUUACUUUCCCCCCAGUUGGUUGGCAUUCCCUUAUCCAAACAGUUCUCUGGAGUUUUUUUUUGUCCCAGCCCCUCACCCAAAAAAUAUUUUUCCCCCCUUUUCGCUAAAUAGAAGAACAAGGAUUUCUUUUUUUGGGAACAAGGAUGUAAGAACAUCUGAGAGGUCAUUUCUCACACAGCUGGUGGACAAGCCAAAAGCUCAAGAUGGAAUUUCCCUGGAAUGGGAAUUCCCUUCUCCUGCAGAAGAUCCCUGCCUGCCCUGGUGUGUAGGGGUGGGAUCAGAAGGGUGAGGAGUGCCAACCUCAGGAGCGCUCAGACACUGUUCCAGUGCUCUCAGAUUGGAUAUUCUGAUUUUUAUCUCCCUGCUGUUCGAUUGCAUUCUCCUGGAUCCAGUAUUUUCUCCCAAAGCAAUCCCUGGAUUCCCUCCCCUUCCCCAAAGGUGCCAACUGACAAGCAGAUGUACUGCAAAAGGGAUACUGCAGCCAAAACACUGCUGUUUUAUUUUGAAUUAAGUCUUGUGGAGCUCUCUUCAUACUAGAAUAUUUUUAUUUUCUUUGUACAACAUACAAUCAUGUACUCUUAACAGAGAUUUACUUUAAAGAGAAGAAAAAAAAAUCUGGAGGUAUUCUUUAAAAAAAAAUACACAAAAAUCUUUAUUAAUAAUCCUGUAUUUUUACUGAUCAUGUUUGAAUGUCUAAAAAGACUUUAUUGUUCUAAUUAUCCAGAUGUAUGUUUGUAAAAUAGCUCUUUUAUGACUUAGCUGAUCGGGUUGUAUGUUUCUGGAAUUAAAUAUUGGUCACUUAAAAAAAAAAAAAAA
rnacentral:lncRNA from 1 species